UGGGACUUCUAGCCUCUAGGACUAUGCUGCUUGCCUGACAGAGGAAUGGAAUGACUUGCUGAAGGAGUAGCAGAAACACUGACUUGGAGGUGAUGACUUGCAAGAAAGGAGAGUCAUCCUCCAAGAUGUCAGCAAGGGGACAACAGACAACAAGAGGAAUCACCAUCCUAGAAUAGCAGCUGACCCUGAAGAUCAGAAGCUAGGGCUGUCAAGACACAAGGAUGAAUACGUCUGACAAGCAGGAGACCCACUUGAAUUGAAUGCUUCUCGGUGUUCCCUUGUCCAGUUUUGUUGGUAAGUGGACAGACCAGCAGCCCCAAGCUGAGAAGAAAGAACACAAUACACAGAGCUCAAACCCUCGAGGAGUGAAUCUGUGUCAUGUCACCAAGUAAGCUAUGAAAGCCAGCAGUCUAUAAGGAAUCUAGGUUUAAGAAGAUCUGUGAAUUGCCAGGAGACCAACCUCAGUGUUGGACCCUAAAGUUUGUUCUUCAAAUCUUCCUUUUAUAAGUCCCCUUAGAAACAGAGUCUCA
rnacentral:lncRNA from 1 species